AACGCUGGCGGCGUGCUUAAAACCUGCCAGGCUUAACGAGAUCCAAUGUGUAGCACUACACAGGAAGAUCUAGUGGCGAACGGGUGAGGAACACGUGAGAAACGUACCCCAGACUUUGGGAUAACAGUCCGAAAGGAUUGCUAAUACCAAAUAACGUCGGAAGUCCGCAUGGACAUCUGACGAAAGGGAUUCCGGUUUGGGAGCGUCUCGCGGACCUAUCAGCUAGUUGGAGGGGUAACGGCCCACCAAGGCAACGACGGGUAGCUGGUCUGAGAGGAUGGUCAGCCACACUGGGACUGAGACACGGCCCAGACUCCUACGGGAGGCAGCAGUGGGGAAUCUUGCGCAAUGGGCGAAAGCCUGACGCAGCAACGCCGCGUGCGGGAAGAAGGCUUUCGGGCUGUAAACCGCUUUCAGUAGGAACGAAACUGACGGUACCUACAGAAGAAGGAGCGGCCAACUAUGUGCCAGCAGCCGCGGUGACACAUAGGCUCCAAGCGUUGUCCGGAUUUAUUUGGGCGUAAAGAGCUCGUAGGCGGUUGAGUAAGUCGGGUGUGAAAACUUUGGGCUUAACCCAAAGAGGCCACUCGAUACUGUUCAACUUGAGUUUGGUAGGGGAGUGGGGAAUUCCUUGUGUAGCGGUGAAAUGCGCAGAUAUAAGGAGGAACACCGGUGGCGAAGGCGCCACUCUGGGCCAAUACUGACGCUGAGGAGCGAAAGCGUGGGGAGCAA
rnacentral:rRNA from 1 species